GGCGGACGGGUGAGUAACGCGUAAGAACCUACCUUUAGGAGGGGGACAACAACUGGAAACGGUUGCUAAUACCCCAUAAGCUGAGGAGUAAAAGGAAUAUUAUUCCGCCUAAAGAUGGGCUUGCGUCUGAUUAGCUUGUUGGUAGGGUAAAUGCCUACCAAGGCGACGAUCAGUAGCUGGUCUGAGAGGAUGAUCAGCCACACUGGGACUGAGACACGGCCCAGACUUCUACGGAAGGCAGCAGUGAGGAAUUUUCCGCAAUGGGCGAAAGCCUGACGGAGCAAUGCCGCGUGGAGGAUGACAGCCUGUGGGUCGUAAACUCCUUUUCUCAGAGAAGAAGUUCUGACGGUAUCUGAGGAAUAAGCAUCGGCUAACUCCGUGCCAGCAGCCGCGGUAAGACGGGGGAUGCAAGCGUUAUCCGGAAUGAUUGGGCGUAAAGCGUCUGUAGGUGGUUUAUUAAGUCUAGUGUUAAAGAUCAGGGCUUAACCCUGAGUCGGCAGUAGAAACUGAUGAGCUUGAGUACGGUAGGGGCAGAGGGAAUUCCCGGUGUAGCGGUGAAAUGCGUAGAGAUCGGGAAGAACACCAAUGGCGAAAGCACUCUGCUGGGCCGAAAC
rnacentral:rRNA from 1 species